GAGACCCCCGUAUAAUCGCGCCCGUCACGACGCGGCGUUACUGCCGCACCGGACGUUCGGUCCGGAUUGUUCUUUACCAACCGAGUGGAGAUGUGUGGGGUUUAGGCCCAGGGGUAUUAUUGGUGCUUAGGCACUGGUGAUUACCCUGAGCAGUAUUGUUUUAAAAUGGAUUGAACGAGAGAGUUUGAUCCUGGCUCAGAUUGAACGCUGGCGGCAUGCCUAACACAUGCAAAGUCAACGGUAGCAGGCCUUCGGGUGCUGACGAGUGGCGGACGGGUGAGUAAUGCGUAGGAAUCUGUCUUUUAGUGGGGGGACAACCCAGGGGAAACUUGGGCUAAUACCGCAUGAGCCCUGAGGGGGAAAGCGGGGGAUCUUCGGACCUCGCGCUAAGAGAAGAGCCUACGUCUGAUUAGCUAGUUGGUAGGGUAAAGGCCUACCAAGGCGACGAUCAGUAGCUGGUCUGAGAGGACGACC
rnacentral:rRNA from 1 species